rnacentral:rRNA from 1 species
GACGAACGCUGGCGGCGUGCCUAAUACAUGCAAGUAGAACGCUGAAGGAGGAGCUUGCUUCUCUGGAUGAGUUGCGAACGGGUGAGUAACGCGUAGGUAACCUGCCUGGUAGCGGGGGAUAACUAUUGGAAACGAUAGCUAAUACCGCAUAAGAGUAGAUGUUGCAUGACAUUUGCUUAAAAGGUGCAAUUGCAUCACUACCAGAUGGACCUGCGUUGUAUUAGCUAGUUGUUGGGGUAACGGCUCACCAAGGCGACGAUACAUAGCCGACCUGAGAGGGUGAUCGGCCACACUGGGAGUGAGACACGGCCCAGACGCCUACGGGAGGCAGCAGUAGGGAAUCUUCGGCAAUGGACGGAAGUCUGAGCGAGCAACGCCGAGUGAGUGAAGAAGGUUGUCGGAUCGUAAAGCUCUGUUGUAAGAGAAGAACGAGUGUGAGAGUGGAAAGUUCACACUGUGACGGUAUCUUACCAGAAAGGGACGGCUAACUACGUG